UGGGACUCUACGGGAGGCAGCAGUGGGGAAUUUUGGACAAUGGGCGCAAGCCUGAUCCAGCCAUGCCGCGUGUCUGAAGAAGGCCUUCGGGUUGUAAAGGACUUUUGUCAGGGAAGAAAAGGACAGGGUUAAUACCUCUGUUUGAUGACGGUACCUGAAGAAUAAGCACCGGCUAACUACGUGCCAGCAGCCGCGGUAAUACGUAGGGUGCGAGCGUUAAUCGGAAUUACUGGGCGUAAAGCGAGCGCAGACGGUUACUUAAGCAGGAUGUGAAAUCCCCGGGCUCAACCUGGGAACUGCGUUCUGAACUGGGUGACUGGAGUGUGGCUGAGGGAGGUAGAAUUCCACGUGUAGCAGUGAAAUGCGUAGAGAUGUGGAGGAAUACCGAUGGCGAAGGCAGCCUCCUGGGAUAACACUGACGUUCAUGCUCGAAAGCGUGGGUAGCAAACAGGAUUAGAUACCCUGGUAGUCCAGAAGUG
rnacentral:rRNA from 1 species